UGCCCAUUUUGGCACUAGCACUAUUUUUGCUUUUGUUCUCGUACUUUGAGCAAUCAUGUGUACGUGCCAAUAUCGGACG
rnacentral:pre_miRNA from 1 species